GGUCACGAGAGUCAGCGCGAAGCCCCAGCUAGCUGACCGGCAACCCUCCCUUCCGCGGUGGGGUGCCCUGGGUGAAGACCUGGCCGUGGCGUCGACCGACGUCGUGCGGCAAGCGCGGGUC
rnacentral:ncRNA from 1 species